GUAUUUUGAAUUGUUUAUUCAUAAUAUUUUUCAGACAAAGAGUUAAAAAAUAAAGGUUGAUGUUUGGUCGAUCUCCAUGAAGAAGAUCGACUGACAUUGCACACAAGGUGGAUAUGGAUUUAAAAAGUGCCAUAAAACACUUAUUAUGAAUGAUCCUUCCGCUGGUUCACCAACGGAGA
rnacentral:misc_RNA from 1 species